rnacentral:rRNA from 1 species
AGUGAGGAAUAUUGCACAAUGGAGGAAACUCUGAUGCAGCAACGCCGCGUGGAGGAUGACGCAUUUCGGUGUGUAAACUCCUUUUAUAUGUCAAGAAAAUGACGGUAGCAUAUGAAUAAGCACCGGCUAACUCCGUGCCAGCAGCCGCGGUAAUACGGAGGGUGCAAGCGUUACUCGGAAUCACUGGGCGUAAAGGACGCGUAGGCGGGAUAGUAAGUCUGAUGUGAAAUCCUAUGGCUUAACCAUAGAACUGCAUUGGAAACUACUAACCUAGAGUAUGGGAGGGGGAGAUGGAAUUAGUGGUGUAGGGGUAAAAUCCGUAGAUAUCACUAGGAAUACCCAAAGCGAAGGCGAUCUCCUGGAACAUAACUGACGCUGAGGCGUGAAAGCGUGGGGAGCAAACGGGAUUAGAUACCCCGGUAGUCCACGCCCUAAACGAUGUUCACUAGUCGUCGGAAAGCUUGUCUUUUCGGUGAUGCACUUAACAGAUUAAGUGAACCGCCUGGGGAGUACGGUCGCAAGAUUAAAACUCAAAGGAAUAGACGGGGACCCGCACAAGUGGUGGAGCAUGUGGUUUAAUUCGAAGAUACGCGAAGAACCUUACCUAGCCUUGACAUUGAUUGAAUCCAGCAGAGAUGCAGGAGUGCCUUUCGGGGAACAUGAAAACAGGUGCUGCACGGCUGUCGUCAGCUCGUGUCGUGAGAUGUUGGGUUAAGUCCCGCAACGAGCGCAACCCUCGUCCUUAGUUGCCAGCAGGUUAAGCUGGGCACUCUAAGGAGACUGCCUUCGUAAGGAGGAGGAAGGUGAGGACGACGUCAAGUCAUCAUGGCCCUUAUGGCUAGGGCUACACACGUGCUACAAUGGGGCGUACAGAGUGUUGCGAUACCGCGAGGUGGAGCUAAUCACUUAAAGCGUCUCUCAGUUCGGAUUGGAGUCUGCAACUCGACUCCAUGAAGCUGGAAUCACUAGUAAUCGUAGAUCAGCAAUGCUACGGUGAAUACGU